UACUCAAAAACCGUAAAGAUUCUGCCAUUCUGACCAGAAGCUUACCACUCGCCACGAAUCAACGGAGGUAUCAAGAUCGUCAAGUUUAGGACUUACAAGUCGUUUAAGAUAAAGCCAUGAAGAUGCCUCGAUUUCUGCUCGUCGCCCUCCUCGCCGUAGUAUUGAUAGUUAUUGUUGAAUCCUAUCCAGCUGAUAAAGAUGACUUCUUAGAGAUGGUCGAGAGAAACUUCAUGGAAAGAAGAUCCUGCCGCAAGUUCCGGUCCAAGUGCGACUGUAACGACCAAUGUUGCAGCAAGUGCUGCAGUCCCACGCACAUGUGCCUGCCAGACAAUAUGAGGAAGUCAGCCCCCAUGUUCUGCAACGUCAUGGUCGAGUGCAAAGCCCGAGGCCGAAUCGAUAAGAAAUAAACAACACGUUGAAUCACAUGUGACGAGAAACUACGUAGUUUGACGAAAUUCUCAUUUGGGACUUUUGGAUUUUCAAGAGGUGAAAAGACAAGUGCAGCUUUCAGAAUUUUUCAUAAUUUCAUUCUUGGUGAUGUCAACAGUGAUUAUGCACGUGCAUAGUCAUUAGCAUACAUUAUGCAAUCAUUUUGUUGCAAGAGCGCCGCCUGGUUGUGAUAUUCCUAACUACUUUGGUUUAAAUAGAUGGAUGCAUGAAUCUCUCUUGUCGUUUGUCUCUGGUCAUUAGGUGAUCUUGAAACGUCAACUUCGUUGAGCCAACCGAGAAACUAAUCAUCUCAUGAGCCCUUUCCUUUAGCAGUACAUAAUGUAUAAGAUAGUGUGGGUACAACAUCGUCUUCUCUGCAUAAUGGAGCCACCAAACUUGAUGGUGUUCAUUUGGUCGGGCACGAACAGCAUCAGUAUCCUAGUUUUACACCACUGCAUCCAUUCGCGGACGAUGUCACAUUGUUCUUACUUGGACGAAAAUGCUUUGUACCGGAACUACGCCGGAAGAGUCCCGGUGCGAAUGAGCUAUUUUCAAAUAUGGAUUAAGAAUUCUUUAAAUUCAUCAAGAGUGCGAAAUUAGAGGUCAAUGAGCGCAAUUUACGGAAAUUAAGAACUGCAAAAUUCAAAAUUGUUUUCUUGUAGGACUGCGGCCUGUUGACUCGUGAUUAAAACUCCGUGACAGCAUGGGCUUAAGACUGCAGGCAACCAAACGUACCAACGUCUGUGAUUUCUAUUGCAUUCUAAUGUUCUGAAAAUAACGUUUUACGAAAGUCACCAUUUUGCUGGAGAGCAUACCUUUUGAAAUGGGGUAGUAUUUGCACUAAGAAAUUGAGGAGACAUGUUUUGAAAGAGUUCAACAAACUUGUUACUAAUGGACACAUGAGAAAGGAAAAUUAUAUCCAUCUACCCCUUCUUCGAAAAAAUAUAACGCAGCAAAGCCCCCUGAGUCUGAUUCUAUACCAUUUCAUGUCGACUGUACAUUUCAUAAGUGAAAAAUUUCUGUAUUACCCCCGAAUUUAAGCUCCAUGUCAAAAUGGUGGCAGAAAAUAUAUUCAUUUUAAUUGAAUAAACUGUUGUAUAACUUGGAAAGCAAAGGGAAGGUGUAGAUAUCAUUACAAUUGUUUGACGAGUGACCAUGGAAUACA